rnacentral:pre_miRNA from 1 species
AAUAAACGAAUUUCUGUGUUUUUUUUAGAAUUUUUGACUCUUCAUUUUAUUUGAAAUUUUUUUAUGAUUAAUAUUUUUAUUGUUACUACAUGAUAAAAUAUGAAUAGCACUUUACGUGUGACUAAUUUUUUAAUUUUUUAAUAAAUUUUUAAAUAAAACAGAUGAUCAACCGCUCGACUAAAAAACCCAGAAAUCCACUUUUU